rnacentral:tRNA from 1 species
GGUCCCAUGGUCAGGACAUUGGACUCUGAAUCCAGUAAUCCGAGUUCAAGUCUCGGUGGGACCU